rnacentral:rRNA from 1 species
UAUUAUAAGAAUAAUAAAAUGAUUUAAUGGAUAGGUUAUUAUAGAAACUCCACAGUUAAGCGUGCUUGGGCGAGAGUAGUACUAGGAUUGGUGACCUCCUGGGAAGUUAGUCUUUUAUAAGGC